rnacentral:rRNA from 1 species
AGUGAACGCUGGCGGUAGGCCUAACACAUGCAAGUCGAACGGCAGCACAGUAAGAGCUUGCUCUUACGGGUGGCGAGUGGCGGACGGGUGAGGAAUACAUCGGAAUCUACUUUUUCGUGGGGGAUAACGUAGGGAAACUUACGCUAAUACCGCAUACGACCUACGGGUGAAAGCAGGGGAUCUUCGGACCUUGCGCGAUUGAAUGAGCCGAUGUCGGGUUAGCUAGUUGGCGGGGUAAAGGCCCACCAAGGCGACGAUCCGUAGCUGGUCUGAGUGGAGGGUCCGCCCCACUGGAACCUGGACACCGUCCAGACUCCUACGGGACGCCUCAGUUGGGAAUGUUGGGCAAUGGGCGGAAAGCUGGUCCAAUCAUGCCGCGUUGGUUGAAAAAGCCUUCCGGUUGUAAUGCCCUUUUGUUGGGUAAGAAAAGCAGCCGGUUGAAACCCCGCCGUUCUGACGGUAACCGAAAAAAAAGCCCCGGCUAACUUCGUG